UAUAUGAACGUCGGACCCUCCGUAGCCCGGGGUUUCUGAAUUCUGCGGACACGCGUUCCAAAUUUUCAGCGAUUAUUCUGGUUUAUUGAUCGUAAAAAUCGUGAGAAGGAGAAGAAUCCAAAUUUACGCCUCAUCCGUAUCCUCGCGUCUCCCGAGAUUCAUCAUUUUUCCGAUUGCAAUUUGUAUAGAAAAUCUGGAUAACGUCGUACAAUGAUUUCAUAUGAAUAGCGAAAUUUCUGAUACAGGUAUCUCAAUAAUUUGUAUACGUAACGUGGACCUAACGGGGACGUAAUAAAAGCGCUAGCGCAUGUUAUCCAAGAAAUACAUAAUCAGUACGUAAGGUUAUUAUAUUGGGAUGAUUGGCGAAAAUUCGAAUAAUUCUGGUCUAAUUUUAAGCAGGUUUGUACGAAGAAUAACGGUGCCAUAGACGACGCGGUAAUUACCGAUACACAUUCAUGUAUAUCUA
rnacentral:misc_RNA from 1 species